rnacentral:tRNA from 1 species
CCACCUCCCUUACAGGGAGGGGGUCGGCGGUUCGAUCCCGUCAUCACCCACCA